UAAGUUAUUAAGGGCGCACGGUGGAUGCCUUGGCACUAGAAGCCGAUGAAGGACGUUACUAACGACGAUAUGCUUUGGGGAGCUGUAAGUAAGCUUUGAUCCAGAGAUUUCCGAAUGGGGAAACCCAGCAUGAGUUAUGUCAUGUUAUCGAUAUGUGAAUACAUAGCAUAUCAGAAGGCACACCCGGAGAACUGAAACAUCUUAGUACCCGGAGGAAGAGAAAGAAAAUUCGAUUCCCUUAGUAGCGGCGAGCGAAACGGGAAGAGCCCAAACCAACAAGCUUGCUUGUUGGGGUUGUAGGACACUCUAUACGGAGUUACAAAGGACGACAUUAGACGAAUCAUCUGGAAAGAUGA
rnacentral:rRNA from 1 species